AACGCACAUUGCGCCCCUCGGUAUUCCGGGGGGCAUGCCUGUUCGAGCGUCAUUACACCCCUCAAGCGUAGCUUGGUAUUGGGCCCUCGCCCCCUGGGCGUCCCCGAAAGUCAUGGGCGGUCCGGAGUGACUUUAAGCGUAGUAAAUUACCUCCCGCUUUGAAAGCUCGCCCCGCGGCCGGCCCGAAAACCCCAUAAUCUAUCAACGAUUGACCUCGGAUCAGGUAGGGAUACCCGCUGAACUUAA
rnacentral:misc_RNA from 3 species